rnacentral:rRNA from 1 species
AGUGAACGCUGGCGGUAGGCCUAACACAUGCAAGUCGAACGGCAGCACAGUAAGAGCUUGCUCUUACGGGUGGCGAGUGGCGGACGGGUGAGGAAUACAUCGGAAUCUACUUUUUCGUGGGGGAUAACGUAGGGAAACUUACGCUAAUACCGCAUACGACCUACGGGUGAAAGCAGGGGAUCUUCGGACCUUGCGCGAUUGAAUGAGCCGAUGUCGGAUUAGCUAGUUGGCGGGGUAAAGGCCCACCAAGGCGACGAUCCGUAGCUGGUCUGAGAGGAUGAUCAGCCACACUGGAACUGAGACACGGUCCAGACGCCUACGGGAGGCAGCAGUGGGAAAUAUUGGACAAUGGGCGCAAGCCUGAUCCAGCCAUACCGCGUGGGUGAAGAAGGCCUUCGGGUUGUAAAGCCCUUUUGUUGGGAAAGAAAAGCAGCAGGUUAAUACCCCGCUGUUCUGACGGUACCCAAAGAAUAAGCACCGGCUAACUUCGUG